rnacentral:rRNA from 1 species
GACGAACGCUGGCGGCGUGCCUAAUACAUGCAAGUCGAACGCACUCUCGUUUAGAUUGAAGGAGUUUGCUCCUGAUUGAUAAACAUUUGAGUGAGUGGCGGACGGGUGAGUAACACGUGGGUAACCUGCCCUAAAGUGGGGGAUAACAUUUGGAAACAGAUGCUAAUACCGCAUAAAACCUAACACCGCAUGGUGUAGGGUUGAAAGAUGGUUUCGGCUAUCACUUUAGGAUGGACCCGCGGUGCAUUAGUUAGUUGGUGAGGUAAAGGCUCACCAAGACCGUGAUGCAUAGCCGACCUGAGAGGGUAAUCGGCCACACUGGGACUGAGACGCGGCCCAGACUCCUACGGGAGGCAGCAGUAGGGAAUCUUCCACAAUGGACGAAAGUCUGAUGGAGCAACGCCGCGUGAGUGAAGAAGGUUUUCGGAUCGUAAAACUCUGUUGUUGGAGAAGAAUGUAUCUGAUAGUAACUGAUCAGGUAGUGACGGUAUCCAACCAGAAAGCCACGGCUAACUACGU